rnacentral:misc_RNA from 1 species
UAGAUCGCAUUGUUCCUCCAAUUGUCAAGCGGGCAUCUAUCCAAGCUUAUUCAGUAGCCCCAGGAGCUGCUCGUGCUGUGGCUUCUUAUUUGCCUUUGCAUACCAAGAGACUUUCUAAGGUGCUAUAUGGAGAUGGGUGAGCUAAAAUCUUCACCAAUUGCUUCCAGUUGAGUAAGAUGAUGAAGUGCUCAACAAUGCAUGUUGGAUUAAUUAUAUAUCUAUUGUGAGCUCUUUUUUUGUGUAUUUAUGCUGAGUGUUUGGGAUUUGUUUUUGGUCGUGUGUUUUGGAUGUUCAUAAUGGGAAUAAAUGGCCAAAUGAAUCAUUGGCCAAUAUCUACUUAUGUAUAAAUUUCGUAAUUAAGCUGGAAUACUAAUGUUUCUAGUGGUUUUAUUAGGGAGUAAUGGAGAUGGAAAAAACAUUAGUAUUCC